rnacentral:lncRNA from 1 species
AAAAAAACGUAUCACUGAUUUUUUUUUUUACAAUCUGUUAAAGCAUGUUACAUAUUUUUUCUAUAUCGUCGCAGUAUUUUAAUCUUGGAUCUUUGAGUCCAUAAUAAAUUCUUGAAAUAGGACGACCGCUACAUAAAGAUUGUAUUGCCUCUGAGUGAAAAUCGUGUACAUCACAUAUAUAUUCCUCAAGGAAAUCAGCGUUCUCAGUCAAAUGCCUCGAAGCCCACAGUUUAUCAAUAGCGUAACGAUUUAAA